AGCAGCCGCGGUAAUUCCAGCUCCAAUAGCGUAUAUUAAAGUUGUUGCAGUUAAAAAGCUCGUAGUUGAAUUUCGGGACUAAUAUGUCGGUCGUACUUUGUACGUACUAGCAUUAUUGGUUUCUCCCUUCUGACGAACCACGAUGUCAUUAAUUUGGUGUCGUGGGAAAUCAGGACUGUUACUUUGAAAAAAUUAGAGUGUUUAAAGCAAGCUCGCGCUUGAAUACAUUAGCAUGGAAUAAUGAAAUAGACGUUUGAUUCUAUUUUGUUGGUUUCUAGGAUCGACGUAAUGAUUAAUAGGGAUAGUUGGGGCAUUAGUAUUCAAUUGUCAGAGGUGAAAUUCUUGGAUUUAUUGAAGACUAACUACUGCGAAAGCUAUUUGCCAAGGAUGUUUCAUUAAUCAAGAACGAAGUUAGGGAU
rnacentral:rRNA from 1 species